CGGAACGUGGCGCAGUCUGGUAGCGCACUUGACUGGGGGUCAAGGGGUCGGAGGUUCAAAUCCUCUCGUUCCGACCA
rnacentral:tRNA from 1 species